rnacentral:rRNA from 1 species
GAUGAACGCUGGCGGCGUGCCUAAUACAUGCAAGUCGAGCGAACAGACGAGGAGCUUGCUCCUCUGACGUUAGCGGCGGACGGGUGAGUAACACGUGGAUCACCUACCUCUAAGUCUGGGAUAACUUCGGGCAACCGGUGCUACUACCGGAUAAUAUAUUGAACCGCUUGGUUCAAUAGUGCAAGGCGGUUUUGCUGUUACUUAUAGCUGGUUCCGCGUCGCAUUAGCUAGUUGGUAAGGUAACGGCUUACCAAGGCUACGAUGCGUAGCCGACCUGAGAGGGUGAUCGGCCACACUGGAACUGAGACACGGUCCAGACUCCUACGGGAGGCAGCAGUAGGGAAUCUUCCACAAUGGGCGAAAGCCUGACGGAGCAAUGCCGCGUGAGUGAAGAAGGUCUUCGGAUCGUAAAGCUCUUUUAUUAGGAAAGAACAAAUGUGUAAGAAACUAUGCACGUCUUGACGGUACCUAAACAAAAAGCCACGGCUAACUUCGUG